rnacentral:rRNA from 1 species
CGUGUAGGCGGUUUGUUAAGUCUGAUGUGAAAGCCCCGGGCUCAACCUGGGAAGUGCAUUGGAUACUGGCAGACUUAAAUACGGGAGAGGGUAGUGGAAUUCCUGGUGUAGGAGUGAAAUCCGUAGAUAUCAGGAGGAACACCGGUGGCGAAGGCGGCUACCUGGACCGAUAUUGACGCUGAGACGCGAAAGCGUGGGGAGCAAACAGGAUUAGAUACCCUGGUAGUCCACGCCGUAAACGAUGAGUACUAGGUGUUGCGGGUAUUGACCCCUGCAGUGCCGCAGCUAACGCAUUAAGUACUCCGCCUGGGAAGUACGGUCGCAAGACUAAA